AGUAGGGAGGAAGGUAGUGUAGUUAACACCUGCUACUAUUUGACGUUACCUACAGAAGAAGCACCGGCUAACUCCGUGCCAGCAGCCGCGGUAAUACGGAGGGUGCGAGCGUUAAUCGGAAUUACUGGGCGUAAAGCGCAUGCAGGCGGCCUGUUAAGUCAGAUGUGAAAGCCCGGGGCUUAACCUCGGAAUUGCAUUUGAAACUGGCAGGCUAGAGUCUUGUAGAGGGGGUAGAAUUUCAGGUGUAGCGGUGAAAUGCGUAGAGAUCUGAAGGAAUACCAGUGGCGAAGGCGGCCCCCUGGACAAAGACUGACGCUCAGAUGCGAAAGCGUGGGGAGCAAACAGGAUUAGAUACCCUGGUAG
rnacentral:rRNA from 1 species